UGCUGAAUAUACCGGUUCUCGUUAGAUCACCGAAGUCAAGCAUCAUUGGGCGCGGUCAGUACUUGGGUGGGUGACCACCUGGGAACAUCGCGUGCCGUU
rnacentral:rRNA from 1 species